GAUGAACGCUAGCGGCAGGCUUAACACAUGCAAGUCGAGGGGUAUAACACUUCGGUGCUAGAGACCGGCGCACGGGUGCGUAACGCGUAUGUAAUCUACCUUUUACAGAGGGAUAGCCCAGAGAAAUUUGGAUUAAUACCUCAUGGUAUUAUGGAUAGGCAUCUAUUUAUAAUUAAAGAUUUAUUGGUAAAAGAUGAGCAUGCGUCCCAUUAGCUAGUUGGUAUGGUAACGGCAUACCAAGGCGAAGAUGGGUAGGGGUCCUGAGAGGGAGAUCCCCCACACUGGUACUGAGACACGGACCAGACUCCUACGGGAGGCAGCAGUGAGGAAUAUUGGACAAUGGGCGCAAGCCUGAUCCAGCCAUGCCGCGUGCAGGAUGACUGCCCUAGGGGUUGUAAACUGCUUUUGUACAGGAAGAAACCCUUCUACGAGUAGAAGAUUGACGGUACUGUAAGAAUAAGGAUCGGCUAACUCCGUGCCAGCCGCCGCAGUAA
rnacentral:rRNA from 1 species